UCCCUCGAGUAUGUGGGAGGGGAUGGUCAGGCAUUGAAAAAGCCAGGAGUUUCAGAUUUAAUUUGUAACUUAUGAAUUUUUUAUUAUACUGAUGAUUAUAUUUGAUUUUAACUUAUGUGAUUUAAAUACUUUUUAGGCUGUAUUUCAUUAGAAUCGAAAGAAUUAGACUACUCAGGAGUACACGCAUACUCUUGAUCAUG
rnacentral:lncRNA from 1 species